rnacentral:rRNA from 1 species
GACGAACGCUGGCGGCGUGCCUAACACAUGCAAGUCGAACGGAACUGCACUGAGUACUUGUACGAAGAGUAGUUUAGUGGCGAACGGGUGAGUAACACGUGAGCAACCUGGCUAUCAGAGGGGGAUAACAGUUGGAAACGACUGCUAAUACCGCAUAAGACCACGAGAAUGCAUAUUUUCGAGGUAAAAGGAGAAAUCCGCUGAGAGAUGGGCUCGCGGGCCAUUAGCUAGUUGGUGAGGUAACGGCUCACCAAGGCUGCGAUGGAUAGCCGACCUGAGAGGGUGAUCGGCCACACUGGAACUGAGACACGGUCCAGACUCCUACGGGAGGCAGCAGUGGGGAAUAUUGGGCAAUGGAGGCAACUCUGACCCAGCAACGCCGCGUGAGGGAAGAAGGUUUUCGGAUUGUAAACCUCUGUCCUUGGUGAAGAAGAAAGUGACGGUAGCCAAGGAGGAAGCCCCGGCUAACUACGUGCCAGCAGCCGCGGUAAUACGUAGGGGGCAAGCGUUGUCCGGAAUUACUGGGCGUAAAGGGUGCGUAGGCGGUUUGGUAAGUUAGAUGUGAAAUGCCCGGGCUUAACUUGGGAGUUGCAUUUAAAACUACCAGACUAGAGUGCAGGAGAGGAAAGCGGAAUUCCUAGUGUAGCGGUGAAAUGCGUAGAUAUUAGGAGGAACACCAGUGGCGAAGGCGGCUUUCUGGACUGUAACUGACGCUGAAGCACGAAAGCGUGGGGAGCAAACAGGAUUAGAUACCCUGGUAGUCCACGCUGUAAACGAUGGAUACUAGGUGUAGGGGCCUAACAAGGCUUCUGUGCCGGAGCUAACGCAAUAAGUAUCCCGCCUGGGGAGUACGGUCGCAAGACUG